GACGAACGCUGGCGGCGCGCCUAACACAUGCAAGUCGAACGAGCGAGAGAGAGCUUGCUUUCUCGAGCGAGUGGCGAACGGGUGAGUAACGCGUGAGGAACCUGCCUCAAAGAGGGGGACAACAGUUGGAAACGACUGCUAAUACCGCAUAAGCCCACAGGUCGGCAUCGACCAGAGGGAAAAGGAGCAAUCCGCUUUGAGAUGGCCUCGCGUCCGAUUAGCUAGUUGGUGAGGUAAUGGCCCACCAAGGCGACGAUCGGUAGCCGGACUGAGAGGUUGAACGGCCACAUUGGGACUGAGACACGGCCCAGACUCCUACGGGAGGCAGCAGUGGGGAAUAUUGCACAAUGGGGGAAACCCUGAUGCAGCGACGCCGCGUGGAGGAAGAAGGUCUUCGGAUUGUAAACUCCUGU
rnacentral:rRNA from 1 species